rnacentral:rRNA from 1 species
GACGAACGCUGGCGGCAUGCCUAACACAUGCAAGUCGAGCGAGCAGAUCCCUUCGGGGUGAAGCUAGCGGCGGACGGGUGAGUAACACGUGGGCAACCUGCCUCAUAGAGGGGAAUAGCCUUCCGAAAGGAAGAUUAAUACCGCAUAAGAUUGUAGCUUCGCAUGAAGCAGAAAUUAAAGGAGCAAUCCGCUAUGAGAUGGGCCCGCGGCGCAUUAGCUAGUUGGUGAGGUAACGGCUCACCAAGGCGACGAUGCGUAGCCGACCUGAGAGGGUGAUCGGCCACAUUGGGAAUGAGACACGGCCCAGACUCCUACGGGAGGCAGCAGUGGGGAAUAUUGCACAAUGGGGGAAACCCUGAUGCAGCAAUGCCGCGUGAGUGAUGACGGCCUUCGGGUUGUAAAGCUCUGUCUUCGGGGACGAUAAUGACGGUACCCGAGGAGGAAGCCACGGCUAACUACGUGCCAGCAGCCGCCGUAA